rnacentral:rRNA from 1 species
ACUCCUACGGGAGGCAGCAGUGAGGAAUUUUCUGCAAUGGGCGAAAGCCUGACAGAGCAAUACCGCGUGAGGGGUGAAGGCCUACGGGUUGUAAACCUCUUUUCUCAAGGAGGAAGAUCUGACGUUACUUGAGGAAUAAGCAUCGGCUAACCCUGUGCCAGCAGCCGCGG